GUAUGUAUGUAUGUGUGUGUGUGUAUAAAGAGUGGGGAGAGAAAGGGGGAGAGGAAGGGAAGCGUAAAUGCACAGAAAAAACGCCACGGUAAGAAAUUGCUGACAAAACAAAUUCUUGUUUUGCGUUCAAAGUGAAUGCAAUAUUGAAAGCUAUGG